AUGCAAGUCGAACGGUAACAGGCCUUCGGGCGCUGACGAGUGGCGGGCGGGUGAGUAACGCGUAGGAAUCUGCCUUAUAUGGGGGGACAAACGUGGGGAAACCCCACGCUAAUACCGCAUACGCCCUACGGGGGAAAGAGGGGAUCUUCGGACCUUUCACUAUGAGAUGAGCCUGCGUUAGAUUAGCUAGUUGGUAAGGUAAAGGCCUACCAAGGCGACGAUCUAUAGCUGGUCUGAGAGGACGAUCAGCCACACUGGGGACUGAGACACGGCCCCAGACUCC
rnacentral:rRNA from 1 species